rnacentral:ncRNA from 2 species
ACAGGCUUUUAUGACUGACGGGUAAUGUGGAGAUGACACCACAGGGGAAUAAAAGCUGUAUCUUCAGCCGACCGUCUGGGCAGCAUUU